GAUGAACGCUGGCGGCGUGCCUAAUACAUGCAAGUCGAACGAACAGACGAGGAGCUUGCUCCUCUGACGUUAGCGGCGCACGUGUGAGUAACGCGUGUAUAACCUACCUAUAAUACUGGUAUAACUUCGGGAAACCGGAGCUAAUACCGUAGAAUAUAUUGCACCGCAUGGUUCAAUAGUGAAAGACGGUGUUGCUGUCACGUAUCGAUGGAUCCGCGCCGCAUUAGCUAGUUGUUAAGGUAACGGGUUAUCAAGGCUACGAGGCGUAGCCGAAGUGAGGGGGUGAUCGGCCACACGGGAACUGAAACACGGUCCAGACGCCUACGAGAGGCAGCAGUAGGGUAUGGUCGGCAAAAGUCGAAAGCAUGGCGGAGCAACGCCACGCGAGUUAUGACGGUCUUGGGAGCGUAAAACUCUGUUAUUAGGGAAGAACAAAUGUGUAAGUAAAUAUGCACUGCUUGACGGUACCUAAUAAGAAAGCAACGGCUAACUACGUG
rnacentral:rRNA from 1 species